ensembl:lncRNA
CAUGGCACUUGGAACUUGGCAGAGGUUUAAAGCAAAACUGGCCAUUAUACAGGAACAGAGAGAACAUUGGACUUGGAGAAGAAGACUGGGGUUCGUGUUCCAUGUCUACUACACAAUUUGGGCAGGGCCUGGCAAGGACACCUCAGCUCUGCUCCACACGGCAUCUGCUAGGAAAUCUGAAAGGCUAGGAGUGCACUCAACAGGUGGGAGUAACUUGACAUCUUGGAGCUGGAGUCAUGUGAAGGCUCACAGACUCAUUCACUUGCACACCUGGUGGUUGAUGCUACUGUACCUCAGCUGUGACUACUGGAUGGACACACGGAAUCAUAGGCCCACAUCAGAGAAAAGGUUAAACAAGAAGAAAAAAUAAGCAGAGUCAUUCCCAAAGUGUGCUACAAGGCAGAGAGGAAAUAACAGACUCUAAGAUCUGAAAUUAAGUAUGAUCAUGGCUCCGAGCCCAGAGGUAGGGAUCUCUGAGCCGCCGUCCCACUGCUCCUGGUCCAGAGGAAGGGGCUUCCCAGCCACCAUCCCUCCUGUUGCUCCCAGCCCAGAGGAAAGGGCUUUUGGGCCGCCUUCUGUCCCACUGCUCCCAGCCCAGAGGAAGGGGCUUCCGAGCCACCAUCCCUACCACCACUCCUGGCCCUUGUCCCACCUGUCUCAGCUCAGAGGAGGUGAUCCUCACAGGUGCCAACAGCACCCCACUGCCCGCCCAGUCAAAAUGAGAAAACAUGUAAAUAAGUCUCAAAACCAGACUUCCAGAUCACCUACAGCAACCCCAAAGGGAAAUGAGAUGGAACACUCUGAUACUCAACCACCUGGACCCACUGAACUGGCAAUAAAAGGGGAUCUGGAAAAAAUGAAAUCGGAAAUAAUUUCUCAGAUAACAGGAGAAAUUGUGCUCCUAGUGCAAGACAUGAUUAAUAAAUCUAGAGAGGAGCUGAGGAACAUGAUGGAAACCCAACACUGGAAACAAAUGGAAUCCAUAAAACAGAUGCAAAUAGAUUUCCAGGACAUGAAAAACUCCAUUGAAAGUCUACACAGCAGAAUGAGCCAAUGUGAGGAUGGAAUUUCAGAUAUAGAAGAUAAGAUUGCAAUUAAUGACCAGGACAAGAAAAAUUGCUUCAAAAUUAUAAGGGAACACAAGAAAUCAAUCCAGCAGCUGCUAGACAAUGCAAAGAAGAAUAACAUAAGACUGAUUGGAGUCAAUGAAGAAAGAGGAGAGAGUGGAGAUGACAUAAAAAAAACUCUCCACAGAAGUAAUGGCAGAAAACUUCCCAAGCAGGGGAAAAGAAUUUGAUAUACAGAUAAGUGAGGCAUAUAGGACUCCAAAUAGCCUUGAUCAAAAAAAUCUACACAUAGGCAUAUAAUUGUUAAGAUUCCAGAAACUCAACAGAAGAACAAAGUUCUACAAGCAGUCAGAGGAAAGAAACAAAUCACAUAAAAAGGAAAGCCCAUCAGAAUCUCAGCAGACUUCUCAAUACAAACCAUCAAGGCAAGAAGAGCUUGGACUGACAUAUUCCAAGCCCUAAAAGAAAACAGCCUCCAACCCAGAUUGAUGUACCCUGCAAAACAAUCUUUCAAAAUGGAUGGAGAAAUAAGAUACUUUCAUGACAAAGAGCACCUUAGGAACUACGUGAAUACAAAACCAGAACUCCAAAAAAUUUUACACAAUGUCCUAGGAACAGACAUUGAGGAUCACAACCCCAGGAAACAAAGCAGAAUGAACCCAUCUGGCGUGACAAGAAAUUAAAUGUAAAGGGGGAGAACCCAACAAAAAGAAAAAGUCAUGGCAAUGACAAGUCAAUACGUUUCAGUUAUAACCAUCAACAUUAAUGGUCUCAAUUCACCAAUCAAAAGAAAUAGACUGGCAGAAUGGGUCAAGAAGCAAAAUCCAACAAUAUGCUGCUACAAGAAACACACUUAAUUCAAAAGGAAACUCAUAGACUGAAAGUUAAAGGGUGGAAAGCAAUACUCCAUGCAACGGGAACCCAAAAAAAAGCAGGAGUAGCUAUCCUCUUUGCAGAUCAAGUAGAUUUCAAACCAACACUGAUUAAGAAAGACAAAGAAGGACACUACAUCCUUAUAAAGGGAAGAAUCCAAGAGGAAGAGAUGACAAUCAUAAAUAUCUAUGCACCAAGCACUAGUGCGCCCAACUAUAUAAAACAAAUACUAAUGGACGUGAAAAGUCAUAUAUGCACUAAUACAAUUGUAGUGGGGGACCUCAACACCCCACUGUCACAAUUAGGUAGAUCAACUAGACUAAAAAUAAGUAAUGAAAUACUAGAACUCAAUCGAACUCUUGAACAAAUGAACUUAACAGAUAUUUAUAGAGUCUUCCACCCCACAAAAUCAGAAUACACAUUCUUCUCAGCUACACAUGGGUCAUUCUCCAAAAUAGACCACAUACUCAUACAUAGAAC